AGGGAAUUUUCCACAAUGGACGAAAGUCUGAUGGAGCAACGCCGCGUGAACGAUGAAGGUCUUCGGAUUGUAAAGUUCUGUUGUCAGAGACGAACAAGUACCGUUCGAACAGGGCGGUACCUUGACGGUACCUGGCGAGAAAGCCACGGCUAACUACGUGCCAGCAGCCGCGGUAAUACGUAGGUGGCAAGCGUCGUCCGGAAUUAUUGGGCGUAAAGCGCGCGCAGGCGGCUAUGUAAGUCUGUUGUUAAAGCCCGGGGCUCAACCCCGGUUCGCAUCGGAAACUGUGUAGCUUGAGUGCAGAAGAGGAAAGCGGUAUUCCACGUGUAGCGGUGAAAUGCGUAGAGAUGUGGAGGAACACCAGUGGCGAAGGCGGCUUUCUGGUCUGUAACUGACGCUGAGGCGCGAAAGCGUGGGGAGCAAAC
rnacentral:rRNA from 1 species